AUUGAACGCUGGCGGCAGGCCUAACACAUGCAAGUCGAGCGGAUGAAGGGAGCUUGCUCCUGGCUUCAGCGGCGGACGGGUGAGUAAUGCCUAGGAAUCUGCCUGGUAGUGGGGGAUAACGUCCGGAAACGGGCGCUAAUACCGCAUACGUCCUGAGGGAGAAAGUGGGGGAUCUUCGGACCUCACGCUAUCAGAUGAGCCUAGGUCGGAUUAGCUAGUUGGUGGGGUAAAUGCCUACCAAGGCGACGAUCCGUAACUGGUCUGAGAGGAUGAUCAGUCACACUGGAACUGAGACACGGUCCAGACUCCUACGCGAGGCAGCAGUGGGGAAUAUUGGACGAUGGGCGAAAGCCUGAUCCAGCCAUGCCGCGGGUGUGAAGAAGGUCUUCGGAUUGUAAAGCACUGUAAGUUGGGAGGAAGGGCAGUAAGUUAAUACCUUGCUGUUUUGACGUUACCAACAGAAUAAGCACCGGCUAACUUCGUG
rnacentral:rRNA from 1 species